rnacentral:sRNA from 12 species
UUGUAUUACCGGAGAGAAAUCUCGUCAGGUCGAUAGUUAGGUCGCGAAUAUUUAUAUUUAAGCGUAAUUCUAAGUACGCCGCCCUAAUUGGGAAAAGCCCUUGCGGGCUUUUUUCUUUUGAUA